AACUUCAACGACUCCGUAAUAUUUCCGAUGACUGCUUCGAUGGAAAGUUCAUAUAAGCAGCGGACAUUUACAUGUGACUUAUGUGGCAACGUAUAUGAAUCAUCACGUAGUUUACGUCGUCAUCAAUUGCAAUGCGCGUCGCACUAUGUCGCGUCGCAUUUGUUUUAGCAAGUUCGUGCCUGUUGCCUGACCGAUUCUGGCGGUUGGCCAUUUCAUGUUCUCCUGCCUCCUUAGAACGGCUACUUCGCGUACUUGGUAGUGCCUUUAAAAUAAAAAUGAGUGGAUUGGAAGAUAUAUUAUUGCAGUGGGGAGACUUUCUGAUAUUAAUGAUGUACUAUCGCAAUACUUAUGUAUUAAUAAAUUUUAUAAUGAAAUUAAUAA